rnacentral:rRNA from 1 species
CCUACGGGUGGCAGCAGUGGGGAAUAUUGCACAAUGGGGGAAACCCUGAUGCAGCGACGCCGCGUGAGUGAAGAAGUAAUUCGUUAUGUAAAGCCCUAUCAGCAGGGAAGAAAAUGACGGUACCUGAGUAAGAAGCCCCGGCUAACUACGUGCCAGCAGCCGCGGUAAUACGUAGGGGCCAAGCGUUAUCCGGUUUUACUGGGUGGAAAGGGAGCGUAGACGGGAGUGCAAGUCUGGAGUGAAAGGCGGGGGCUCAACCCCCGGACUGCUCUGGAAACUGUACGGCUGGAGUGCAGGAGAGGUAGGUGGAAUUACUAGGGUAGCGGUGAAAUGCGUAGAUAUUAGGAGGAACACCAGUGGCGAAGGCGGCUUACUGGACUGUAACUGACGUUGAGGCUCGAAAGCGUGGGGAGCAAACAGGAUUAGAUACCCGUGUAGUC